rnacentral:rRNA from 1 species
CCUACGGGUGGCAGCAGUGGGGAAUAUUGGGCAAUGGGCGCAAGCCUGACCCAGCAACGCCGCGUGAAGGAAGAAGGCUUUCGGGUUGUAAACUUCUUUUCUGAGGGACGAAGAACGUGACGGUCCCUCAGGAAUAAGCCACGGCUAACUACGUGCCAGCAGCCGCGGUAAUACGUAGGUGGCAAGCGUUAUCCGGAUUUAUUGGGUGUAAAGGGCGUGUAGGCGGGAAAGCAAGUCAGAUGUGAAAACUCAGGGCUCAACCCUGAGCCUGCAUUUGAAACUGUUUUUCUUGAGUACUGGAGAGGCAGACGGAAUUCCUUGUGUAGCGGUGAAAUGCGUAGAUAUAAGGAGGAACACCAGUGGCGAAGGCGGUCUGCUGGACAGCAACUGACGGUGAGGCGCGAAAGCGUGGGGAGCAAACAGGAUUAGAUACCCUAGUAGUC